UACGUAGGGAGCAAGCGUUGUCCGGAAUCAUUGGGCGUAAAGCGCGCGUAGGUGGCCAUGUAAGUCCGCUGUGAAAGUCAAAGGCUCAACCUUUGAAAGCCGGUGAUACUGCACGGCUAGAGUACGGAAGAGGCGAGUGGAAUUCCUGGUGUAGCGGUGGAAUGCGCAGAUAUCAGGAGGAACACCAAUAGCGAAGGCAGCUCGCUGGGACGUUACUGACGCUGAGGUGCGAAAGCGUGGGGAGCAAACAGG
rnacentral:rRNA from 1 species